rnacentral:rRNA from 1 species
ACUCCAUGAAGCUGGAUUCGCUAGUAAUCGCGCAUCAGCCACGGCGCGGUGAAUACGUUCCCGGGGCCCUUGUACACACCGCCCGUCAAGCCAUGGAAGCCGGGGGGUGCCUGAAGUGCGCUGCCGCAAGGAGCGCCCUAGGGUAAAACCGGUGACUGGGGCUAAGUCGUAACAAGGUACC